AUUGAACGCUGGCGGCGUGCCUAACACAUGCAAGUCGAGCGAUUCUCUUCGGAGAAGAGCGGCGGACGGGUGAGUAACGCGUGGGUAACCUGCCCUGUACACACGGAUAACAUACCGAAAGGUAUGCUAAUACGGGAUAACAUAAGAAAUUCGCAUGUUUUUCUUAUCAAAGCCCCGGCGGUACAGGAUGGACCCGCGUCUGAUUAGCUAGUUGGUGAGGUAACGGCUCACCAAGGCGACGAUCAGUAGCCGACCUGAGAGGGUGAUCGGCCACAUUGGAACUGAGACACGGUCCAAACUCCUACGGGAGGCAGCAGUGGGGAAUAUUGCACAAUGGGCGAAAGCCUGAUGCAGCAACGCCGCGUGAGCGAUGAAGGCCUUCGGGUCGUAAAGCUCUGUCCUCAAGGAAGAUAAUGACGGUACUUGAGGAGGAAGCCCCGGCUAACUACGUGCCAGCCGCCGCGGUAA
rnacentral:rRNA from 1 species